UCCUUCCCAUUCCAAAUGUCAUCAAUUUUGGUGGUCCAACUUCACCAACUUCAAAUCGCUCUGGCUUGAAGCUUGUGGGGUCAUCCCAAACAUUGGGAUCCCUGUGAAGGGUCCAAGCAUUGACGAGCAAUAUUGUGCCACGAGGUAUAUCAUAACCCUGAAUUUUACAGUUAUCUGAUGCUUCAUGUGGCACAAGUAAUGGAGCUGCUGGGAACAAUCUGAAAGUCUCAGAAAUAAUUGCUUGUAAGUAAUGAAGUUUGGGCAAAUCUGAUUCAUCGACCAGACGAUCAUUGCCCACAAGACUGUCAAUCUCAGCUUUAGCCCUUUCCAGCUUCUCCGGGUGGUUGAGCAAAACCGACAAUGCCCAUUCUAUGGUCACGGCAGAAGUAUCUGUCCCGGCAUUUAGCAUAAUCUGUCAUUUGGAAUUUCACACACCAAGUUAAGUUAAAUUCUAAAUUGCUUUUAAUGCUCCAGAAGGACAUGGGAAACAAGAAAUGAAAAUUUUACCGUCAUAAUCCCUUUGAUGAUUGUAUCUGUGUAAUAUUCGGGCUGUGAUUCCUGCAAAGAAAGCAAAUGAUCGAUCAUGGUAUUUCCAUUCUUGUUACGGCGGUGCUCCUCAAUCAGACCUUGCAAGAAUGCAUCCAUCUUCUCACUUAGCCUAGCCAAAUUCUUCUCAUGCCCUUUGUAGUCGAUCCAUCUCAGAAGUGGAAGAAAAUCUCCUGGAUUUGAACCGAAACCAAGUGAAAACGCUUCAUCAAUAAGUUCGCGGAAAUGCUUUGCCUCCUUGCUGUCCUCACUUUCUCCAAAAUAUCGCUUCCCAGCCACCAUUCUCAUUAUAAUAUUAAAGGACAGUUCUGAAAAUAGAGAUUUGAGUUCAACAUUUGCAAAGUCCCUCUGUGAAUUCUGACAGAGCUUUUGCAGCAGACGCUUGAUUUCAUCUUGUCGUACGGACAGGAACAUGUUGAGGCGACUGGAAGAAAAUAUUUCAACUGUAGUGAAGCGCCGGAGGUUGCGCCAGUGCUCGCCAUAUGGGGAUCCAACAAGUGUUGUGUAGUUAUAGCCAAUGUAUUUGCCUUUGAGAGAACGAGGGCGGUUGGCCAACACAAUAUCAUUCUUGGUGAAGCAUUCUUCAGCCACCGUUGGCGAUGAAACUACCACCACAAGGCGGGUGCCGAAUCGGAGGGAAAAGAUUGGGCCUAAUUUUUAAUAGAGACGGUGUAAGGUUCGGUGCAAAGGUUGUUUCAAGAGGUGCAAAUGGCCUAUGAUAGGAAGGGCCGGUACAGGGCUUGGUGGAAUGUGGUAUUUCCGGGAUGACCAAAACUUAAACACCAGAGCUACAAGAAACAGAGAUAAAGAUGUGUAAAGCCAAGUUGAUUCCAUGCCUGAAUCUCGAUUGAUGAACAUAUAAUUUUGUAUUAAUACAUCAACUUGAAUGAUAUAUAUAAAUAGGCCAAUUCUUGAAUGCAGCCUUUGGGAGCUUUUGGUUAAGGAUAAUAUUUGAUCCUUCUCAGUGAGUUAAUGCGUCUUUUCUUCGCAUUGGCUUUAGUUUCGUGUACGGAUCAAAUUCGUUUAUUUGAAUAAGAUGAAAGGUGCGUCGUUGUCUCAAAUUUAUUGCUAAAAUAGUAAAGGAAAAUGUUCAAGAUACACCGAGGUGUCCAACAUGGUGUCCAAAAUGGACACCGGCACCUCGGUGUUGGCCGAGGUGCUGGUGGGCCCCGACGUGGCAGGCACCUCGGCCAAUGCCGAGGUGUCGUGUGUCCAUUUUGGACACCAUGAUGGAUGCCACAAUGUACCCCAAGCAUAACCCAAUAGUAAAUCCGUUUCGAACUUUUAAAAGUAAGCAAAUUGACUUUUAAUUGUUUAUUAUCCUUCAUUAAUAAAUAGGAUUUUGAAUGUUUCUUACGCUUGAGGCUUAAUUUUUUUCGUGAUCGAUUAUGCAACAAUUACAAACAAUGUUGACAGACAAUGCUUAUAAACAACACUUGGCGCACAUUCAUUGAAAGAUGAAAAAAAAAAAAAAGACGAAAAUCAUAUUUCAAUAACAAAUUUGUCAAAAAAUUUCUACACUCGCGAUUUUUUCCCUUUUUAUUUUUUAUUUUUUAUUUUUAUGGUUGGAAAUAAAUUCGUUGGUCAAUCAAUAAAUUAAUCCAACAUUAUUCUGUUCCUUCGAAGAACUGUGUAGAAAUAUCUUCAGUAUGUUUACCAUAGACUUAUCUUUAUAAUGACGCAUGCAGUGACCAAAUUCUAAGGGAGGGGAUUUGUGGUGCGCGUGGUUUGCUUAUUUUUGGGUUCGUUUGGUAGGGAUUUUGAGAAUUGAUUAAGGUUUUGACGGUCUAAAAUUUUAUUUAAAUUCAUAAAGUACAUAAAUCUAACUUUUGUGUUUUUCAUUUUUUUUUUUAAUGGUAAGAAAAAGACAUCUAUCUACAAUAUACGUGACUUUUCUAUUUUUGUCGUUACGUUUUUUAUUUUAUGGUCAACAAUGUCUUACACAUUUUGCCCUUGUUCGUCUAUUAUUAAUUGAUUUUUUUUCUCAAACUCAUUUUCAAUCACAUUUUUAAAAUAAAUUAUUGUGCAUGCAAACUCAAAAAAAUUUCCUACUUUUUAACCACACAUUUUAAAAAAAUUUAUUAUUUCAAAACUCAUUUUCCUACUUUAGUGAUAAAAAAAACAGAGUCUUGAUAUAUUUCCAACAUAUUAUAAUGAAUAAUAAUAAUUUAUUCAGUCUCAAAGUCUAGUAUAUUUUUAAAGACAUAAUUAUGAGCAUUAUUAUAUGAAUAAUGUUACUUGUACAUAAGGAGUCACAAAAUUUUUUACAAUUAGAUGAUGUGUCACUUUAUUUUUAUUUAAUUAAAAAAAUACUGGUCCAAUCAUAUUUCACUAUAUCAUGGAUAUACAUACCAAUCUGUAAAUGAUAAUAUAUAUGUAGUACAAUCAUUAUUAUAUACGAUGAAGGAGGUUCAAAAUGGUGAAACAAUUAGGGUAUUGCGUCAAAAAGGGACCAAAUGAUAAGUUUAUUAAGAAAAUAAUAAUAAUAUUUAAUUGAAGAAACGUUUGGUCAUUUGACAAUACUCUUCCUCUUUCUCUUCCCACGUGCAGCCAUUCUUUUUUUCACGCGAUUUAAUAAUUUCAAUCAUAUACUUACAAGUACUAAUUACUACUAUCCACACAUUUUGUGAUACACGCUAAUAUUUUUCCUUAGUAAUUAUUUAUAAAUUUGUCAAAUGGAGGCAAAGUUGAAGUUUCUUUUACAAUAUACUAGUAAUAAGCAUGUAUAUUGCAAACGUCUUAUGUAUUGGAUGAAUAAUGAAAAGCUCUGAUAUCACUUGAAAGUUACUAGUUUGAAUCUAAAAUCACCUAGAGGGGGUUAAUAGAUGAAUAUCGCGGAAUUAUAAUUAUUAAUUAAAAAUAAAAAGUCACUUUUUAUUUGUUCUAGAUGGUUAAUCAAAUAAGUCAUAUUAUCUUAUGUUGAACUGCCACAAUUUGUAAUAUGAAAGCAAUAAAAAAUGCAAAAAUUGUUAAUGAAGAAACCUAAUUGGGUCAAAGCUUCAGGACCAAACCAAUAACCUUUAUUAUGAAUAAUAAGAACUAAUAGUACGAUCCAACCUAGAAAAUCCACUAGACUUGCUGAUCUAAUUCCUGCAAUUUUCAAGAUCCACUGGAACGUGCUUCACUCACUUGAUCCAAUCUUCUGAAGUUGUCUAUUUCCUGUAAAUCACCAAGAACAUCUUUUUCUUGUAUUCUUCCUAUUCUUUUAAUCCAACCUCCCUUGAUUUUUAGCAACCUCUAAAAGUUAUUGAGAAAGUACUUUCUUGUAUGUGCUUAGGAAGUAGGUGUUUUGGAUUACAUGAAUUUGAUGUUUUUCUCCAAAGAUGUUGUUCUAUGAACUCAAGAAUCAAAUGAUUAAUCUAAAGGUAGAUUAUGUUAUUGACUCUUUAAAUGAUGUUAUGACGGAGAAAUAUAAUGAACAACCAUAACAAAAAACGUAUUAGGGCAAAGAUAUAUAUAGUAGAAGGCAAUUAGGUAGCAUGUCCUAGAUAAAACUCUUGAAAAACGCGAACUAGGAUUUUACACGUAAUACCGUUGCUUAAGUGCUAGCUAGUGACAGGAGAGCAACCGGUGUGUCGCUUGAGCGAGAACUUAGUGACGGAAGGACCACAAUAUUGUGGGCUGUGUAUGUGAGGUGGGGGCAGUAUUGAUAAAGUGCAAGUUAAUGGGAUUCACAUGAUUAGAGCGUGUCUUAGUAAGAUUAUCCCCCCCCUCUCCUCUUGUUUCAUGGUCUUUCUCUCUCUCUCUGUCUCUCUCCAGAUAUGUACAUAUAUGUAAUUGAUAAAUUGUAGAGAGAAGUUCUUACUUAUAGGCAAUGGGGAAAUACUACUUGAUAGAUCUUGUAUUUCUAGGAUUUCAAAAACUUGUUUUUAGUAUUGAAUUUCACUCUUUCUUGAUUGAGCAUCAAAUUUGUAUAAGAUUGACCUAAGUGGAGGUAACUGGAUUGGCUGAGUUAGUAGAUGACAAUGGUGGUAAAUUGAUUUAAAUAUGCUUAACAUUUUGAUUGGUGUUUUGUCAUUGAACUGACUUAAAGAUGCAUGCACUGAACAGAGAAAGAGGGGGGAUGGUGGUUGUGUCACUUUUUUUUUUUUUGUCAUUUACUUCUGUCAUUUUAUUGAUCUGAUUCCAAUGUUUUAAUUUGUGUUUUGUUACUUUUUUUUGUCACUUUUUGAGUGUUUUUAAAUUUUUGUAAAUUUCAAUCAUUUGUCACUUCUUUUUGAAUUUAUAUCACUUUUUAAAUUUGUUUCAGUUUCGUAGAUAUAUAUACAAUUUUGCAAAUUAAUUCAUUUUCCCCUUAUUUUUCCUCUGUUGCCUAAGUUUAUCAUUUCUGAAAUAAUCUUGAUUGAAGUAAUUGGGAAUAAGACUCAAGGAUUUGUUGACAAUGUGUUAAGGGCAAAAUCAUGUUUUGAUGCUUGUGUAUCCUCUUAGGAAGCUUCAAUUGACACCAAAGGUUGUGUUUGAUGUAAUAUUUUUAGUGACCGGUUGUCUGUAGAGUUGGCCUUGGUGGAGGUGGAGUGGUGUGGAGGAAUGGUUGAAUACUUGAAUUUGCAUAAAAUGAUAUAUUGUAAGGUUUUGAUUGAGUGCGUGUCAAUCUUUUUAAGUUUUUGUUACAUUUUGAAUAAAAUAUUUCACUUUUUUCUUCACUUUUUUUUUUUAAAAUAAAAAUGUGGCAUACAAUGUCACUUUUACCAAAAAAUGAAACUUAAAUUUAUACAAUAUUUUUAUUUUCAAAAAACUUCUUAGGUGAUCAAUGGGUUGACAGAGUUGGUGUAUGACGAUUGUCGUGAAUUGACUUAAAGAUAGUUGACGUUUUGAUUUGUGUUUCGUCGGUCAAUUAAAUUAAAGAUGCUUGACGGUGAAUGGAAGAAGAGGAGAGAUGAUGGUUGUGUCACUUUUUUCUGUUACUUUAUUGAAUUGAUUUCAAUGUUUUAAUUGGUGUUUUGUCAUUUUUUUUAUUUGUCAAUUUUUUCUGUGACUUUUUUGAGGGACAAACAUCAUUUUUAAAAAAAAUAAAAGUCCAUGUCAUUUUUUAAUAAAAAAGUGACACUUAACUAUAAAAAGUAUUGUGACAAUUUUUAUAAAAGAAAAAGUGAUAAUUAAUUUUAUAUAGUAUUUUUACUUUCAAAAUACUUUUCAUAUGAUUUUUCGCAAGAUCACUAAUUUUAGGGAUAUUUUUAUAAGCUGCCCUUGUUAUAAUUGGUGCUGUCACUUUUUGAAUUUGUCACUUUUUUGAAUUCCUAUUACUUUUUUUUUAGUGUUUAUCAUUUUUAUUUUAUUUUUAUCAUUUUUUUGCGUUUGUCACUUGUUGAAAUGACAAAUAUCAUUUGAAAAAAUAAAAUAAAAGUGACAUUGUAUGUCAUUUUUUAAUAAAAAAAAGUGACACGUAAAAAUGACAAUUAAUUUUACAUAGUAUUUUUUAUUUUCAAAAUACUUUUUAUAUAAUUUUACAUAAGACUCCCACUUUUAAGGGUAUUUUGAAGUUAGUGGGUUACUUGACCCACCAGGCUUCACAACAUGUUUGUCAGUGGAUAUGGAUGUCAAUCGAGUCGAGCGGCUCGCCAGUUUGAUCGCUAGCUCGUUAUAAUGCGACUCGUGGGUGGCUUGGGCUUGAGCUCGUCAUUCGAUGAGCCCGAGCAUGAGUCGAGCAAGGAUGUUGUCCAAUGAGCUCGUCGCCCAUGAGCCGAAAUAAAUGUGAACAUAAUGUUUGAAAAUUUUAAAAAAAUAAUAAUAAUAAAAAAAAAAAUCAAGCUCGUGAACUCACGAGUUCAUGGACCAAACCGAGCAAUUGCCACCACUACCGGUGGACAUAAAUAUAAAGUUUGGAGAACAAUAAUAAAUUUGAGGAUAUUAAUUCAAAAACUCAAAUACAAGAAGAGAAAUAGUUCUUUUUUUUUUUUUUUUUUUUUUUUUUUUGGUUUUUCUAAAUUGAACUCCGUACAUUAUCAAUAAAAUAACUAUAUAUAAAGAUUAUCGUUUUCUAUUUUUGAACUUGAGGUCCCUCUUCUUCUAGAUUGUUAUUUUCAGAUUCUUGAUUUUCAUGAGAAUCGCCUCAUCACCACCCUAUUCAUGGUUUACCCUCCCAAAGAAGGCUCGAACACAUAAUGACUUAGCAAAACUUCGCUCUUCCGCCCCCCAGGGCACUUCUCCACUGGCAAAGGACGGACGCUGUCAAACCUGGCAGAGCAGAGGUCGUGAGUUCGAAACAUGGGGCUCUUGGAAGGCAAGGGAACAUUUGGAAGGCAAGGAUUUAUUCUUGGAAGGCAAGUGGGAACUUGGAAGGCAAGGUGCAACUUGAAUUGGCUUGCUUGGCACUUUGUCAGACCAGGUGGGGAGCGCUCGGACCCUGGCCAGUUGGAGGCACAUCCUGCGAUUAACCGGACUGUGUGAAGAGGGGCCGGAUCACAGAUUCAAGGAUUAGUCUAGAAUAGGACACCUUGUAAAAAAAAAAAAAAAAAAAAAAAAAACUUCGCUCUAAAAAAAAAAAAAAAAAAAAAAAAAAAAAAAAAAAAAAAAUUAUUUGAAUUGAGUCAAAUCGAGCAAUAAUGCAGAAACAUUUGAUUUCAGUAUAUUAACGUCUUCUACGUAAUUACGGGCUACAUAUGUUAUUCUACAGCAGAUAUACUGAUAUGUAAAGCAAAUAAACAUUGAAUCUGCACGUGAUAUUGAAGAAAUCUCUCAAAUAUUGAUUAUAAAACUGAAGUACAUGCGUAAUAGUAUUACAAAUAUCCAAAUAAAGAUUCAGGCAACACCAGAAACAACCUUGUGAAGUACAUUGCGUGCUUUGCAACUUGCCUCCAGUGGCACAGCUUUGGGCAUAGAGAGCCCUUUUCCCUCUUUCAAAUCAAUCUUCUCUUCAUUACUCCUUUGCCAUUCAAAACACUGUACUAAAGAUCCUAAGGUCAAACCCACCACUCGUUGGGCCAGGCCAGCACCGGGACAUGACCUCCUCCCCAUUCCGAAUGGCAUCAAUUUUGAGGGUGUAACUUCUCCUACAUCAAAUCUCUCUGGCUUGAAGCUAGUGGGGUCAUCCCAAACUGUGGGAUCCCUGUGAAUGGCCCAAGCAUUGACGAGCAAUAUUGUGCCACGAGGUAUAUCAUAACCCCCAAUUUUACAGUUAUCUGAUGAUUCAUGAGGCACGAGUAAUGGUGCUGCUGGGAACAAUCUAAAAGUCUCAGAAAUAAUUGCUUGUAAGUAAUGAAGAUUGGACAAAUCCGAUUCCUCAACCAGACGAUCAUU
rnacentral:lncRNA from 1 species